rnacentral:rRNA from 1 species
AGUGAACGCUGGCGGUAGGCCUAACACAUGCAAGUCGAACGGCAGCACAGUAAGAGCUUGCUCUUACGGGUGGCGAGUGGCGGACGGGUGAGGAAUACAUCGGAAUCUACUUUUUCGUGGGGGAUAACGUAGGGAAACUUACGCUAAUACCGCAUACGACCUACGGGUGAAAGCAGGGGAUCUUCGGACCUUGCGCGAUUGAAUGAGCCGAUGUCGGAUUAGCUAGUUGGCGGGGUAAGGGCCCACCAAGGCGACGAUCCGUAGCUGGUCUGAGAGGAUGAUCAGCCACACUGUAACUGAGACACGGUCCAGACUCCUACGGGAGGCAGCAGUGGGGAAUAUUGGACAAUGGGCGCAAGCCUGAUCCAGCCAUACCGCGUGGGUGAAGAAGGCCUUCGGGUUGUAAAGCCCUUUUGUUGGGAAAGAAAAGCAGCAGGUUAAUACCCCGCUGUUCUGACGGUACCCAAAGAAUAAGCACCGGCUAACUUCGUG